rnacentral:rRNA from 1 species
CCCGCUGAACUUAAGCAUAUCAAUAAGCGGAGGAAAAGAAACUAACAAGGAUUCCCCUAGUAACUGCGAGUGAAGCGGGAAGAGCUCAAAUUUGAAAUCUGGCGGUCCCUUGGGCUGUCCGAGUUGUAAUCUAGAGAAGUGCUACCUGUGCUGGACCGUGUACAAGUCUCCUGGAAUGGAGCAUCACAGAGGGUGAGAAUCCCGUCUUUGACACGGACUGCCAUGUGCGAUAUGGUGCGCUCUCGAAGAGUCGAGUUGUUUGGGAAUGCAGCUCAAAAUGGGUGGUAAAUGCCAUCUAAAGCUAAAUAUUGGCGAGAGACCGAUAGCGAACAAGUACCGUGAGGGAAAGAUGAAAAGAACUUUGGAAAGAGAGUUAAACAGUACGUGAAAUUGCUGAAAGGGAAACGCUUGAAGUCAGUCGCGUCGGCUGGAAAUCAGUCUUGCUUCUGCUUGACGUACUUUCUGGUUCGACGGGUCAGCAUCAGUUUUGACCGCCGGAUAAAGUCGUUGGGAAUGUGGCAUCUUCAUGAUGUGUUAUAGCCCGUCGUCGCAUACGGUGGUCGGGAUUGAGGAACUCGGCACGCCUUCAUUGGUCGGGGCUUCGGCUCACGUUAACGUGUCUAGGAUGCUGGCGUAAUGGCUUUAAGCGACCCGUCUUGAAACACGG